rnacentral:rRNA from 1 species
UAAGGAAUAUUGCUCAAUGGGAGAAAUCCUGAAGCAGCAACGCCGCGUGGAGGAUGAAGGGUCUAUGACUUGUAAACUCCUGUAAAGAAGGAAAAAAUUCCCAUUAGAUGGGAGAUGAUGGUACUUCUGGAGUAAGCCCCGGCUAACUACGUGCCAGCAGCCGCGGUAAUACGGAGGAUGCGAGCGUUAUCCGGAUUUAUUGGGUUUAAAGGGUGCGCAGGCGGGAUUUUAAGUCAGCGGUGAAAUUUUCAGGCUCAACCUGAACACUGCCGUUGAAACUGGGAUUCUUGAGUAUGGAUGAAGUAGGCGGAAUUCGUUGUGUAGCGGUGACAUGCUUAGAUAUAACGAGGAACUCCGAUUGCGUAGGCAGCUUACUAAGCCAUAACUGACGCUCAAGCACGAAAGCGUGGGGAUCAAACA